rnacentral:lncRNA from 1 species
GUAUACAGAAUAUAAAAUGACACUUCGCUGCCUCUUCCAUGAUGAGACCAGGCCAGGGAUUGCUGGGGGCGGUCAGCAUCUCCAGGGCAUGGCCCAGCCAAUGAAGCCACCUGCGUACUGCCUUGCCCUCUGCUGCCUGAUUUCUCAGAAGCCAGUAAGGGAGAUUGCUUUUGUUACCUUGUGGCCACCAGGUUCUCAGGCUGGACCUGGCUCUUGAGGUGCUUUGGAGGGUCUUCCGUGGCUGCUCAAGGGGUCCCAGGGCAGACAUGUGACCCGCGGUCUGUGAUCUGCACUUACAGUUUCCGGAGGGAGGAGUCAUCUAAUGAGCUUCAGAAAGACUCCCGAAACUGUGACUCAUGGUGCCAGAGUCGUAAGAAUAAAGCAAGGAUGUUGAUUAUGAAAGACACAUUGCCUUUCCAAGGUAUAUCACUCCUAAACGAUCACUCUAUCCAAAAGAGGGAGAGGAUAUUCUAAACAGAGGAAUGCAAAGAGAGGAAGAGAAGAGGGCAAGGAUAAGGCCAGCCUACAUUCUGC